GAGUACUAGGUGGCGGGGGUUACCCCCUUCGGUGCCGCAGCUAACGCAUUAAGUACUCCGCCUGGGAAGUACGCUCGCAAGAGGGAAACUCAAAGGAAUUGACGGGGACCCGCACAAGUAGCGGAGCAGGUGGUUUAAUUCGAAGCAACGCGAAGAACCUUACCUAAGCUGGACAUCCCAAUGACAUCUCCUUAAUCGGAGAGUUCCCUUCGGGGACAUUGG
rnacentral:rRNA from 1 species